rnacentral:snoRNA from 1 species
CUACAGACAAUGAUGUACUUUGCUGGUGGGUUCUCAGCAUGCAAUGGCUGCAAACAGCAACUUCCACAGUAGUGUACACAGCCUGUCUCUCAUAUGGGUUUCCUUAAGGGAUCUUGGAGACACUG